rnacentral:rRNA from 1 species
AGUGAACGCUGGCGGUAGGCCUAACACAUGCAAGUCGAACGGCAGCACAGUAAGAGCUUGCUCUUACGGGUGGCGAGUGGCGGACGGGUGAGGAAUACAUCGGAAUCUACUUUUUCGUGGGGGAUAACGUAGGGAAACUUACGCUAAUACCGCAUACGACCUACGGGUGAAAGCAGGGGAUCUUCGGACCUUGCGCGAUUGAAUGAGCCGAUGUCGGAUUAGCUAGUUGGCGGGGUAAAGGCCCACCAAGGCGACGAUCCGUAGCUGGUCUGAGAGGAUGAGCAGCCACACUGGAACUGAAACACACUCCAUACUCCUACCGGAGGCCGCAGUAGCGAAUAUUCGACAAUGGUCUCAAGUAUGAUCCAGCCAUACCGCGUGAAAGAAGAAAACCUUCUGUUUCUAAAGCUCUUUUAUUGGUACAAAAAAACAGCACCUUAAUACCCCGCUUUUCUGACGUUACCCAAAGAAUAAGCACCGCCUAACUUCGUU